UUCCUGGUAGUCCAGUGGUUAGGAUUCAGUGCUUUCACCACUGUGUCCUGGGUUCAAUCCCUGAUCUGGGAA
rfam:Sus scrofa isolate TJ Tabasco breed Duroc chromosome 16, whole genome shotgun sequence.